rnacentral:snRNA from 1 species
GUGCUCGCUUCAGCAGCACAGAUACUAAAACUGGAACGAUACAGAGAAGAUUAGCAUGGCCCCUGCGCAAGAAUGACACGCAAAUUCGUGAAGUGUUCCAUAUUAAA